ensembl:lncRNA
GGAGAAGAGAGGGCUGGAGAGGAGAAGAUAGGACGAGAGGAGAAGAGAGGGCUGGAGAGGAGAAGAUAGGACCAGACGAGAGGAGAAGAGAGGCCUGGAGAGGAGAAGAUAGGACCAGACGAGAGGAGAAGAAAGGGCUGGAGAGGAGAAGAUAGGACCAGAGGAGAGGAGAAGAGAGGGCUGGAGAGGAGAAGAUGGGACCAGAGGAGAGGAUAAAAGAGGGCUGGAGAGGAGAAGAUAGGACCAGAGGAGAGGAGAAGAGAGGGCUGGAGAGGAGAAGAUAGGACCAGACGAGAGGAGAAGAGAGGGCUGUAGAGGAGAAGAUAGGGCCAGAGGAGAGGAGAAGAGAGGGCUGGAGAGGAGAAGAUAGGAGGAGAGAGGGCUGGAGAGGAGAAGAUAGGACCAGAGGAGAGGAGAAGAGAGGGCCGGAGAGGAGAAGAUAGGAGAAGAGAGGGCUGGAGAGGAGAAGAUAGGAGGAGAGAGGGCUGGAGAGGAGAAGAUAGGAGGAGAGAGGGCUGGAGAGGAGAAGAUAGGACCAGAGGAGAGGAGAAGAGAGGGCUGUAGAGGAGAAGAUAGGACCAGAGGAGAGGAGAAGAUAGGAGGAGAGAGGGCUGGAGAGGAGAAGAUAGAAGGAGAGAGGGCUGGAAAGGAGAAGAGAGGGCUGUAGAGGAGAAGAUAGAUCAGUGCCCUUUGUCAAUAUACAUCUGAAGCAGACAAUAGCUAAACUCACACAUCGUUUCCC